rnacentral:rRNA from 1 species
CGUAGGGACCAAGCGUUGUUCGGAUUUACUGGGCGUAAAGGGCGCGUAGGCGGCAAUUCAAGUCAUCUGUGAAAUCUCCGAGCUUAACUCGGAACGGUCAGAUGAUACUGCUUUGCUAGAGUGCAGAAGGGGCAAUCGGAAUUCUUGGUGUAGCGGUGAAAUGCGUAGAUAUCAAGAGGAACACCUGAGGUGAAGACGGGUUGCUGGGCUGACACUGACGCUGAGGCGCGAAAGCCAGGGAGCAAACGGGAUU